UGCUUUUUCUCUGUUGGAAUGUAAUGCUCCAAUUGCUUGCACUUUGUAGUGGGGCCGGCUGGGAGGGUUUUAUGAAUGUCGAGGCAUCACUACCAGAUCACCUGUUACAGGUAGAAAAGGAUGGCCCUGCGUAUGUCCAGCUUGUGUAAAGAAGCCUCCAGUGGAGUGGACAGAUUGCUGAAAAAGGCGAAUCUGUUGGACGAGGCAUGACAUCUAGACUGGGAUCCUUUGGAAGCCGAUCAUCGGUAUCGUAUUUUGUGUCGUCUGAAUCAUUCUUCGGGUCAUCAUCUGUGGAAUCCGAAGGGUACUCCUCCUCAUCAGAGGCGGAUGUCGCAUCAUCAGCCUACUUUCCAUUAGGCUUAUGAGAUCACCUGGCAUUCUGUCUGUGUGUCCGUGUGUUCCCUACUAUCAACUUCACAACAUCUGGACCAAUAUGAACCUAAUCGGGUACAGUUGUACAGACACAUAGGGAUACCUCAACAGUGUAGUUUGUGAUGAUGUCAUCCACCCUGAUCCAAGACGGUGGACAUGUACGCUUUGGAGGCGUAAGUGGGCUUACCUGUGAACCGCCUAACUGAUUUGGGGGAAGUCAAAUCCAUACAACAUGUUUUGUUGCGCUGUCCAUUAUAUAGAAAUUUAAGAUGUUCCUUACUUACUCCUCUUCUGACACCCUUCCCAGUUUGCUCUGGAGAUGUUUAUGUUUCCUCUCUUCUUGCGGCUAGAACUUUAGAUGUCACCUUUAAGGUGGCUAAAUUCUGUUCUAUUGCAGUACUGUUACGGCAGCGAGCUUUUCCUUGAUUAAUUUUAAAAUUUUUAUUGAUUAUUU